AUGGGGCUGCUGGCUCCGGCACCCCACGUGGUGCCGAAGAAGAAGGCCAAGAAGAAGGCCACGGGGACCCGUAAGAGUUCCCGUUUUCAAGUGCUAUUGGAUGAUGAAUCCGAGGCCGACUCCUCCCACCAAGGCGAGGAGGAGAAGGAAGCCUCUCCCCCAGCAGGGGGAGGAAAGAAAAGGAAGGCCUCCCCAACAAGGGAGGCCGAAGGGUCCAAGAAGGGAAAAACUCUUCCCCCGGACCGCUCCGCCAACGCUAGUGACGACGACGAGGACUGGCCUCCAAGGGCCAAGCCCCUGGCGAGAUCGUAA
rnacentral:rRNA from 1 species